GAAAGAUGAGCAUCAAGGUUAGAGAAGGAAGCUGGCCAACAUUUAAAUAGGUUUUAGGAUUUUUCUUCUAUUUGAUAAAUGUGAUUGUCUUCAAAUUUGUUAUACUUCUUUGUAACUAAGAGAUUAAUAGGUGUAUAAAAUUUUAAAUAAUAUCAAUGGUUUAAUCAAAAGAUAUUGAGGUUCUAAACUACUUUAGAGUUUGAUUUAAAAUUUAGGAUUUGGUUAGGAUUUGGAUUAAGAUUAGAAUUUGAUUAAAAUUUGUUUAGAAUUUGGAUUAAGAUUUAGGCUUAAUUAAGAUUUGAUUUAGGAUUUAGGAUUUGAUUAAAUUUUGAUUUAGGAUUUAGAAUUUGGUUAAGAUUUAGUUUAAGAUUUAGGAUUUGAUUAGGAUUUUUUUAGGAUUUAGUUUAGGAUUUAAGAUUUAAUUAGAAUUUAAUUUAGGAUUUAGAAUUUAUUUAGAAUUUGAUUAAAGU
rnacentral:lncRNA from 1 species